rnacentral:rRNA from 1 species
UGAGGAAUAUUGGUCAAUGGGCGACAGCCUGAACCAGCCAUCCCGCGUGAAGGAAGACUGCCCUAUGGGUUGUAAACUUCUUUUCCGGAGGAAUAAAAUCUCGAACGUGUUCGGGACUGAAGGUACUCCGGGAAUAAGCAUCGGCUAACUCCGUGCCAGCAGCCGCGGUAAUACGGAGGAUGCGAGCGUUAUCCGGAUUUAUUGGGUUUAAAGGGUGCGUAGGCGGAUUAAUAAGUCAGUGGUGAAAACCUUCAGCUUAACUGGAGACUUGCCAUUGAUACUGUUAGUCUUGAGUACGGUCAAGGUAGGCGGAAUGUGUAAUGUAGCGGUGAAAUGCUUAGAUAUUACACAGAACACCGAUUGCGAAGGCAGCUUACUGGGCCGUUACUGACGCUGAUGCACGAAAGCGUGGGGAGCGAACAGG